rnacentral:lncRNA from 1 species
GCGCCGCCUUCAGGCUGUCUCCCGAGGGCCCCACUGGGGCGAGUGGAACCGCGGGCUCUCUGGGGGCUCGGUGGGGGGCGCCAUCCUCUAGGCCAGGCAGAGACUGGGCACACCACAGUGUGGGCCUGGGGGGGCCUGGGGGGCCUGGGGCCACGCACCCUCGUCAACUGAGCCCCGUCCCCCUCCUGUCUCUUCCAGCUCGGGAGGAGGCCGGCCCUCCCUUCUGUGAGAUGUCCUGUGGACCCCUCGCCGGUGGCGGCUGCCCUGGGAGCCACAGGCCUUUCGGGGGCCCCUCGAGACGGGGCCCCCAGCCCCUAGGUGCAGGCCCAGGAGGCGCCCAGGGGCUCUUCGGGUCCCCCCACCUCGGACGCCCGCCCCACUCACUGGCUCUGGCUUGUGACAGGCCCCUCUGAUCUGCCCGACUCCCGCACUCACAGCCCCCGAGACGCCAGGAGCUUCUCCAGCUGGAGCAGCUGGAAAACCAGCUGUCAGACGCCAUUCAACGCUACGGCCUUGUGCAAAAGAAAAUUGCAGAGAAAUCCAGAGCACUGCUUCCCACAGCACAGAGGGGCAGCAAACAGAGCCCCCCAGCCCCCUUGGCCGAGCUGCCGGAAGAUGAGAAGAUCUUUAAUGGGGCAACGUGUGGCCGGGCCGGGAGCAGACGCUGCUCCCAGAGCUCCCCGAGGAGGACCCGGAGGCCACCCGGCUGUGGGAGGAGGCCACCCCGCAGAUGGCGGUGAGGCGGGCCUGGGCACGCACUGAGUCUCCCGAGUGCGGGAGAUUCCACGUCGGGCACUGGGAGAGGCUGGUCAGCUCCAUGGAGGGGGUUCACUGCCUACUUCAGGUCACAAUUCAUAUUUCUCUAAUGUCGAAUAAACUGCUUGAAGGAACUGAGCCU